CCUACGGGUGGCAGCAGUGAGGAAUAUUGGUCAAUGGACGAGAGUCUGAACCAGCCAAGUAGCGUGAAGGAUGACUGCCCUAUGGGUUGUAAACUUCUUUUAUAUGGGAAUAAAACGUUCCACGUGUGGGAUUUUGUAUGUACCAUAUGAAUAAGGAUCGGCUAACUCCGUGCCAGCAGCCGCGGUAAUACGGAGGAUCCGAGCGUUAGCCGGAUUUAUUGGGUUUAAAGGGAGCGUAGGUGGAUUGUUAAGUCAGUUGUGAAAGUUUGCGGCUCAACCGUAAAAUUGCAGUUGAAACUGGCAGUCUUGAGUACAGUAGAGGUGGGCGGAAUUCGUGGUGUAGCGGUGAAAUGCUUAGAUAUCACGAAGAACUCCGAUUGCGAAGGCAGUUCACUGGACUGCAACUGACACUGAGGCUCGAAAGUGUGGGUAUCAAACAGGAUUAGAUACCCCAGUAGUC
rnacentral:rRNA from 1 species